AAGGUUCGACUCGAGCGUAGCGAGAGAACGUUGCCGCAGGCAACGGCCCGAAGGGCGAGGCGCUUUAGCGACGAGUUAUCCUUCCCCCACCACCA
rnacentral:sRNA from 1 species